AUUGAACGCUGGCGGCAUGCCUUACACAUGCAAGUCGAACGGCAGCACGGGAGCAAUCCUGGUGGCGAGUGGCGAACGGGUGAGUAAUAUAUCGGAACGUGCCCAGUCGUGGGGAUAACGUAGCGAAAGCUACGCUAAUACCGCAUACGAUCUAUGGAUGAAAGCGGGGGAUCGCAAGACCUCGCGCGAUUGGAGCGGCCGAUAUCAGAUUAGGUAGUUGGUGAGGUAAAGGCUCACCAAGCCGACGAUCUGUAGCUGGUCUGAGAGGACGACCAGCCACACUGGGACUGAGACACGGCCCAGACUCCUACGGAGGCAGCAGUGGGGAAUUUUGGACAAUGGGCGCAAGCCUGAUCCAGCAAUGCCGCGUGCAGGAUGAAGGCCUCGGUUGUAACUAG
rnacentral:rRNA from 1 species